GCAGAUGGAGGUGAUGUGGUCAUAUCUUCUGGUUCUAGUAAGGACUCCUCCAGCUGUAUAAAUUGAAAUGCAUUCAAUUGCAAUGUGGAACUGUGUGUGUGUGUGUGUGUGUGUGUGUAUGUGUACACUUGAAGAUCUCAAGAGUCAUUGUCUCACAUUACUGUGCUCACUCUGGUCCCCACAAGUUCAGCAACACUUGAAUGUGUGUGUGUGUGUGUGUGUGUGUGUGUGUGUGUGUGUGUGUUUGCUCCCAUGGCAACAUGAGCAGACAUGUACACAGUGAGAGGUCAGGUGGUGAACCAGACACCGCAGAGAGAUGGACAGAUAAAGAAAUGGACAGAGAAAGAGAGACAGAGAGACCCAGACAUGAACCCCAUAGAACACAGCUGGCGAGACCCGAAGACAGCAGUUCACAGAUGCUUUCCAUCCGAAACCUGGAGACUCUGAAGUUUCUCUUUUUGCUGAAGAAGACUCCACGACACACUAAACUGACCUGGUAAACAGCGUCCAUCAGUUUACUCUGGAAAGGAGAAGGAAGAGACACAUCCCACACUCUCAACCUCCUGAGAAAGAAAGAGGGUGAGAGAGAGAGAGAGAGAGAGAGAGAUACAGAAAGACAAACAAUGAGACAGAAAAUUGUGCGACUGGAAGUCCUUGGUUCUGGAUGGAGAGCCAGCAGUAACAGUGUUUCAGCUUCAGGUACAGAGAAUGAACAGAAGAACCUCCUUACACACACGUACAUGUACACACACAUACACACACACACAAAUGAAAAGAAGUAGCAGUGACCAUACAAUGCAUAGGAAGUCCCAAACUUCUGUUUUAGUUUUAGCAUCACUAAAAAGACACUAAUCUGUAGAACUUGUGUCGUUCAAUCCAUUGUCUAUUCUUCUCUUCUGCAUCAUGGACAGACUCCUCCUGUCAUCUUCCCUCAGUUCAACGGGCUAAAAAUAAAAAUAUUUACAGUACAAGGAACAAAUAUGCUGUAAUCAACCAUAAGUUUCAAUUCAGUAAGAGCUCAGCUCUGGGAAAUAUCCGAAACAUAUAAUAUAGAAAUAUAUAUGUGAAAGUAAAUGAACACACUGCAAAAAAAAAACAAAAAAAAAAAACCUACUAUAAAAAGUCACGCUAGGACAGUUAACAGGAGAUUGUUGAGUCUAUUUUGGCACCUGAGUCUAUUUCGAAACCUUGAACUCCAUUUCCCAUGAUUCCUAUCCAGACAAACAAACUACAUCACAUGACCAAUCAGGAGCAGCCUAUCCCCUUUCACAAUCACGACUGUGCCGUUAAAUCACCAGGAUGGUCACUGGUGUCUUGCGAAGUCUUGACGAUGACUUUUACAAACAGCCUUAGCAAGCUAAUUACCUAGCUACUGUUUUGAAAAAAAGCUUAGAUAACUAGCUAGCUAGCAAGUUACAUAUACCAUCAAACGAUCUUAUACAUAGCUAAAUGCAUUCCAACUAAAAAAAAACCCCAAACAAACCUGAUAUUAUUAUGAGAAAAAGCAUCCCAUUAUUAUGACAGAAUGACAAAUUAGUCAAAUGAUUUUGUUAAAUGAUCGAGAACCCUGCUCAUGAGUCAGGCAUGCGUGAUUCCUGACAAAAAUACACUCACGUCAUGUGAAAUUCCCAUCCUUCAUAACAUGUGCGAUUAUAUAAAUCCUGUGAUUUUAAAGAGAAGGAAGGGAGCACUGAUUUGAAAGAGGAAGUCGGGAGUUUUUGUGUCAGUCUGACAUUAAAAGGAGAUUUGACCGCUUGUGUCAGAUCAUGGUCAACGAUGUGCUCCACUAGUGCGGUUAUUAUAUUACAUUAUGCUAACUUUGUAAAAUAUUUACCUCAGCAGACAUUAAGAAAGUCCUAUAGCGUAAUUAUACACUGUCUCACUCUGUCAACCUGUAAAACUAUCGCUAGUUCCGCAAAGCAGGUAGAAAGAUCUGCUUAGACUUUUUCCCAAACAGCCCUAGCAAGCUCAUUACCUAGCUAUUGUUUUGAAAAAAGCUUUGUUAACUAGCUAGCUAGCAAGUCAAACAAUCUUACAGCUAGCUAAAAGCGUAACUUCUGUUCAUCUACGAAUACAAACACGACUAUUAAAACAGGAAGCUUGGUGCUAAUGUUUUGUAGUGGUCACGUUAACAAUAUUGUAUGUUUUGAACAUGCAAUACUCACAAUCUGACGUGAAGCUCUCAGGUUAAAGGUCACGGACUGGGUCACGGCUGGUGAGGAGGGUUUAGAGACGAGACGAACGUGUGUCCGGUCUUCUGUGAUGUUUCCUACAUCAUAAGUGUGUACUGACCGUGCUGUGUGAGGUUAACGGUUCCUGAAAAGCCCUGGAUGGUGUGGCGUGUAGAAAAAGAACGCGUCGUCAAAGCCGAUGGCGAACAGCAAAGCGUUGUAGCGACUCUGUGAUCGCGUCCGUCCCGACCAGGCCGUUGGAGGACCAGGGACGCAGGUCGAAAUACACACAUUUUCUCACAAUAGCAUCCAAACGACUUCGGUCCAGAACAACGCUCUCGGUUCACGUUGUGUUCAAUGUCUGAAAAGCUAAAACACACUCGCUGCGUGAACGAGGAAGACCAGGGACUUCUGUCCAGCUACAGCGGAUGUGUGUCAUGUAGUCGUUACGACACUCCAAGGACUCCAAAACAGGGGAUUCUAAAUAAAACUACCAUUUUAUUUGGACGGUCCAGUGCAGAUAAUAAUCAUCAGUUGGACAUUUUUGAAACUGUAAGCCUUACUUUAAAUAGACCAUUAUACUGUACACUAAAAUCAUACACCGAUUAUUCGAAACUCCUUUUUCUUGUACUAUUAGCACGUGCUUGACACCGCUAAAACAGUGAGUGUUUCUAAAUGGAACUGCGAAGCUUGCCUAGCUACAGUAGCACCUUGAUAAAUGUUCAUGCAUGUUAUUAACAAUGAUACUAUUUUACUGAUAAUGAUACUAACCUACUAUUUACUCAACUAGUGUGAAGUUGAAGUCGUAGCCCGUGACUGUUUGUGUUUCACAUGGCGCGAUUGUGUGAGAUUAAAGCAAUGACCUUAAAUCAGUGGAAUUAAAAUCAGUGUCCUUAUUGAGGGGAUUAAACCAAUCACUUUAAACCAGUGGGAUCCAACCUGGGAUUGCAAUUUGUGAAAUUAAACCAGUGCGAUUAAAUCAUUAACUCUGAGAUUAACAGUGAGAUUAAUCUUUAUACCAGUGA